AGCGUAGGCGGAUUUUUAAGUGGGAUGUGAAAUACUCGGGCUCAACCUGAGUGCUGCAUUCCAAACUGGAAGUCUAGAGUACAGGAGGGGAAAGUGGAAUCCCUAGUGUAGCGGUGAAAUGCGUAGAUAUCUGGAGGAACACCGGUGGCGAAGGCGGCAUCCUGGACCGGUAUUGACGCUGAGGCGCGAAAGCCAGGGGAGGCAAACG
rnacentral:rRNA from 1 species